rnacentral:rRNA from 1 species
ACGUAGGUGGCAAGCGUUGUCCGGAAUAACUGGGCGUAAAGCGCAUGUAGCCGGCAUAGCAAGCCAAGUGUGAAAUUUAGGGGCUUAACCUCUAAACUGCGCUUGGAACUGCUGAGCUUGAGUGCAGGAGAGGCAAGUGGAAUUCCCAGUGUAGCAGUGAAAUGCGUAGAUAUUGGGGGGAACACCAGUGGCGAAGGCGACUUACCGGACUGGAUCUGACGGUGAGAUGCGAAAGCUGGGGGAGCAAACGG